rnacentral:rRNA from 1 species
CGCCCUUAGAGUUUGAUCCUGGCUCAGAAUCAACGCUGGCGGCAUGCCUAACACAUGCAAGUCGAGCGAGAAAGGGUAGCAAUACCUGAGUACAGCGGCGCACGGGUGAGUAACACGUGGAUAACCUGCCUCGAAGUGGGGAAUAACACCGGGAAACCGGUGCUAAUACCGCAUAUACCGAUAGAGCCUGCGGGCAUUAUCGGGAAAGGAGCAAUUCGCUUUGAGAGGGGUCCGCGGCUGAUUAGCUAGUUGGUGAGGUAAUGGCUCACCAAGGCAACGAUCAGUAGCCGGUCUGAGAGGACGGUCGGCCACACUGGAACUGAGACACGGUCCAGACUCCUACGGGAGGCAGCAGUGGGGAAUUUUUCGCAAUGGGGGAAACCCUGACGAAGCAAUGCCGCGUGGGUGAUGAAGUCUCUUGGGACGUAAAACCCUUUCGACAGGGACGAAAGCCGCAAGGUUUGACGGUACCUGUAGAAGAAGCCCCGGCUAACUCCGUGCCAGCAGCCGCGGUAAUACAGGGGGGGCAAGCGUUGUUCGGAAUUACUGGGCGUAAAGGGUGCGUAGGCGGCUUUCUAAGUUGGAUGUGAAAACUCUGGGCUCAACCCAGAGCCUGCAUCCAAAUCUGGAAGGCUAGGGUUCUGGAGGGGAAAGCGGAAUUCCUGGUGUAGCGGUGAAAUGCGUAGAUAUCAGAGGAACACCGGGUGGCGAAGCGGCUUUCUGGACAGACACCGACGCUGAGCACGAAAGCUAGGGAGCAAACAGAUUAGAUACCCUGGUAGUCUAGCCCUAAACGAUGGA